CAGAGUUGAAUGUAAGAGAAUCUGACGUAAGAGUGUGUGAUGAAUCAUCAUGUAAGCACGGAGGAGUGUGCAAGGAAGAGGGCGACGGCUUGAAAUGUGCGUGUCAGUUCCAGUGUCACACAAACUAUAUUCCUGUUUGUGGAUCAAAUGGAGACACUUACCAAAAUGAAUGCUUCCUCAAGAGAGCUGCUUGCAAGCAUCAGAAAGAGAUAACAGUGGUAUCAAGAGGACCUUGUUAUUCUGAUAAUGGUUCUGGGUCAGGAGAAGGAGAGUAUGAAGGAUCUGGGACAGAAGUUCAGAGAAAACACUCAAAAUGUGGAGUUUGCAAAUAUAGGGCUGAGUGUGAUGAAGAUGCAGAAAAUGUUGGGU